AGUCGAUCUCCGUUCAAAGUUUGUGCGAAGAUUUGUAGCUCGGGUGCUCGUUUUUGUGGUUCUGUUCGCCGAGCUGGAAGUUUUUGUUGCAAACGUUUCGUCCCCUGGCUAGGCGACAUCAUCAGUGCUUGGUUGAAAAAUGGCCAACCCUUGGAUUCUGGCUUCUUCACGUCUCCCGUGUGUGAGGCGAACGGGAACUUCUCGGUGACGAGUCGGCUGAUGGUUCCUUAUGGUGAAUGGUUCAACAGCGCAGUUUAUACCUGCCAGGUCACUCAUGGAGAGAACACUCAAAGUAAAAACAUCACCGCACUCCAGGAAGAUACCGAGUGCCACCCUAACACCGUUAAAAUCCUCCCACCGCCAGUAGAACAAGUCUUACUGGAAGCGACGGUGACGUUAACCUGCGUUGUGUCCAAUCUUCCUUCUGGAGUCAACGUGACCUGGAAAUAAGAAAAGAAGCCUCUGAAAUCAGAGA